UGAAGGGCUGGGAGGGGUUGCAGACUCAAUACUAAAAGGAGGAUGUGGAUGUGGGGGGCAUGGGUCCCCAGCGGGAAGUUAUGUUAGUACCUGAGAGAAGGAGCCACUGAUGGCUUGCAGAAGGGUUCAAGGCAGGGCCCGUGUCGGUGAGGAGGUGCCCAUACGCUCACACGAUGGUGUGGAGAGGUGCCCACCAAGGGUACAGAACCAAUGCCCGUGGCAGCAGCAGGUGGCAGAAGGGGCCUUCUGCCCAGGACAACCACAGUGGAUUAGGGAGCAGGCACCACCUUUAUUUUGGGGGACCACACACACUUCCCUUUCAAGUGCCAGUCCCUUGAAGGAGGGGAAAGCGCCCAGGCUUGGGUGGGGGGAAGGAGGGAGGAGUAAGUGCUCAGCUGGAUAGGAGUCGAUGGGGAAGAAACAAAGACGUGUGUCGCUGCCUACAUCUUUAACAAGUGCCUUGGAACGCAUCCAGCCGUCACAAUUGUCCAAAUUUUACUCCAAAUCCAAUCUGUGACUCCUAUUGUCUUCUUCCACUGGGGGACACUUAGAAAGACGUAACAGAUGGCUGUGUGUGGCAAUAGUGUUCCUUCCCCACUGCCAGGAGUGAGUUGUUUUUUUUUUUUUUUUUUCAUCGAUGCCUUUCUCUUUCAUCCAAAAAUAAUUUUUCUUCAUAUCAAAAGCAAUACAUUGUUUUGAUAUCGUAGAAAAGCAUAAAGAAGAAAAUUUAAAUCUCCCACAAUGCUACCAGCCCAGAGACAACCACUGCUAAAAUUUUACUGCACGUCCUGCCUGGUUUUUUCCCCCGUGCAUGGGUUAGUGUCUUUGGCCAAGUACGUACGUCUUUCAGGUCCCGCUGCCCAGGUGUGCUGAUGAGCCUAUACUAAACUUUUCUGAUUCCAGGCCCUUCAUGCAGUAGCAGACAAAGCUGGGGGGGGGGGGGACAGUGUGGGACAUGAGUCAGAGAGAACACUAAUCCACCCAUAAGGGACUUAAAUACCAUCUUCUCAGCAAAUUCCUGAUCAACCACAGACCUGAUCUGACCAUAAGCAGUUUAGAUUACAUUCCGCUGGUUCCAAAUGUUUGUUGGAACUGGUGUGAUAUUUAUCCAUAAAAACAAAAUUAUAAAUGGUGGUUGGAUUUGCAGGCCAUAAAGCUCAAGAUGACCAGCGGUAGAACUGAGAGAUCGUUGAUAACUGUUCUGAUCACAGAUUCCUCUUAAGCCCUUCUGAAAUCGUCCCUCAGAGACCUGAAUCCCGGAUGUCCGAGUCUUGACCAGUCCCCUUGUCUACCCUAAAUCUUCAGAGGGUAGGAGGACUCAGGUGGGAGAGUCACAGCGUCAUUCACAAGUCCAGCACUGCUAAUUAGGGAGUCGGUAUUGAAACCGUGGGCUUUGGAGACAGCCCUGCCUGGGUUCAAAUCCCAGCGCUGCCUGGAAUUAGUUAUGUGAGUCUGGGACGCUCGCUUAACCUCUUUGAGUCUAUUUUCUCGCCUAUAAAGUGGGAAUCGUAACGCAUAUUCCUAAGGAUUUCUGUGAAGGUUAGAGAAGAUAGGACGUGAUUUCUUGGACUCAAAAAUGACAAUAUCCCACAGAUUCCCACCACUGAUUUAAAUUACUGAAAUGUGGACCUUUCUUAAAUAUCGAUAAAUACACUCUUUACAACUAUACGACCAAAGGCAAGAGUACAAGUCGAGAAAAACCAACAGAACUAAAGUUGGCUCUUGUGAUUAAUGCUGUUAUUUUGCUGAAAUUAAUUCGGCUUCUUGAAACACCAGUUUCUCGGACGGGGUUCUUUUGAGCCGGGCAUCCCGAACCCACCAUGUGCCGCGCGAUGGUUCAACUUGCCGACAACCUUUCUCGGGUCUGGACAUUGUAACCUGGAGGGCUGUAGGCUACGUGUGGCCCGUGGAUGGACGUGUUUCACCUGACCCUCAUAGGAUUCAUUUUUUCCAAUUAGCUGCUGUUAUAAAAGAAUGAAGACAUUACACCUAAAAUGCGCUGUUCCCACUCCUCUUGAAAGGCUGGAAGAGCCAGCCCCGCAGGACCGCAGGGUCGGGGGGGUGAAUGGCAGUCCCCUGUCACCUGAGCUGGGCUUCCUAACUCCACUCUCCUGGCUCUUCCCAUGUGUGUAAGCUGCCAGCCUCUGUGGGAUUUGCUCUGGGACCUCUUCCUCUGUGACUUACACCCGUUCCUCAGCAGCCCGUGACGGCCAAACAGCAUUUCAAGACACCCCCAAAAGGUAAGAAACGCAAGAGCAAAAAAACUUCUGCUGAAAUUGUGAGCAGCAUUCAGGUCUCCCGUGUCCAUCCAGAUGACCCGGACGAGUUUGUUUGCGUACGUGUGCUUGAAGGUUUUUAUUGAAGCGCAAAGACAAAAUGUUGAAAUCCUCCUAAGCUAUCCUUCGUUCCUCCAGGAUCCCCGAACCCCCAGUUUGAGCGCCGAUUCCCUCUCAGAGUCCGCAGGAGGAACCAACGCUGCCGACACCUUGAUUUCAGACUUCCAGCCUCCAGCACCAUGAGAGCAUACAUUUCGGUUGUUUUAAGCCACCCAGUCUGGAGUAGUUUGUUAGGACAGCCUUAGGGAGCUAAGAUAGUCACCUCGCAUAGAAUCGGACCCCAGGAGAGAAUGAACCGGACGUGACUAGCAUUGAAGGGAGAGAAACUGAAGACAGGGAAUAGUACCAGUCCAAAAAUGCAGUAGGUGGUUCCCCAUCCCUCGCCUCUGGCGGACACGCGGGUGGAUUAUGGCCCAUUCUCCCCCACGCCGCCACCAUCAUCAGACCCCUGCCCUCUUCUGUCUGCGGCUUCUUCAAGGUAUACUGUCCACUGCCUUGCACCUCCUUAAUCUCCAGUCUUCUCUCUCUACGUUUGUAGUGAGGGCUGGGUGGAACAGAACACCAGAACAGGUGCAUGGCAGGGAGAGACGGAUGAGAAGCAGGGUCCAGCUCAGGGGUGGGGGGUGGGGGUGGGAGAUGGCUGCUGGGAAAGAGGAAGGCCAACGCAGCCCAGGAAAGUGCACAGCAUCUAAUACACAUUCUGUCCACAAUUGGAACCAGGCAGACCCCGAGAGACAGCAUCUGAAGACAAUGCCGGAAGUAUCUCAGAGAGAAGUCUUUGUUCUGGCCUCGCCGGUACAAAACAAAACUGUUUUGUUUUUUUUUUCCUUUUCAGGCAAAAAGACACCUAAAUAGCACCCCAGUCUUCAACAGAGCUGGGUGCGGAAACAAACCACCAGUUCAUGCAGUGUGAGUUUUUAAGGGUAUUUACACAAGAGAAACGAAAACGAAUGCCCACACAAGGACCAGGACACAAAUGUUCAGAGCAGUGUUAUUCAUAUGAGCUAAAAACUGGAAACAACACAAAUGUCCAUCAGUGGGUGAGUGGAUAAAUAGGGCAUAUCUAUGAAGCAGAACGCUGCUAACAAUAAAAAGGAACACGCUGCUGAUAUCCGUCAUUACACUGAGUCAAAGAAGCCAGAAGCAAAGGGUACAUAUUAUAUAAUGCCAUUUAUAUAAAAUUCUAGAAAAUGUAAAUUAAUCUGUGCGGUGACAAGACAGAUCAGCAAUGUGGAGCCCAGGGGUGGAGGAGGAAAUUACCACAUGGGGCAUAAGGAGACUUUGGGGGGCAAUGGAAAUGUUCUAUGUCUUAACCGUGGCUGUGAUUUCUACACAUGUGUAUUCCUAUUAAAAGUCAUCAAAGCGCA